UAAUACGGAGGGUGCAAGCGUUAUCCGGAUUUAUUGGGUUUAAAGGGUCCGUAGGCGGAUCUGUAAGUCAGUGGUGAAAUCUCAUAGCUUAACUAUGAAACUGCCAUUGAUACUGCAGGUCUUGAGUAAGGUAGAAGUAGCUGGAAUAAGUAGUGUAGCGGUGAAAUGCAUAGAUAUUACUUAGAACACCAAUUGCGAAGGCAGGUUACUAUGUCUUAACUGACGCUGAUGGACGAAAGCGUGGGGAGCGAACAGGAUUAGAUACCCUGGUAGUCCACGCCGUAAACGAUGCUAACUCGUUUUUGGGUUUUCGGAUUCAGAGACUAAGCGAAAGUGAUAAGUUAGCCACCUGGGGAGUACGUUCGCAAGAAUG
rnacentral:rRNA from 1 species